rnacentral:rRNA from 1 species
AUACGGAGGGCGCAAGCGUUGCCCGGAAUCACUGGGUGUAAAGGGUGCGUAGGCGGGGCUGUAAGUCAGAGGUGAAAGCCCUCGGCUCAACCGGGGAAUUGCCUCUGAUACUGCAGCUCUUGAGUCCCAGAGAGGCCGCUGGAAUUCCUGGUGUAGCGGUGAAAUGCGUAGAUAUCAGGAGGAACACCGGAGGCGAAGGCGGGCGGCUGGACGGGGACUGACGCUGAGGCACGAAAGCGUGGGGAGCAAACAGGAUUAGAAACCCUAGUAGUCC